GUCAGGACCCGGAUGUCAAGUCAUCUCGGAGUUCACUCCUCAAUAAAAGGAGAGCGAGCAAUUAUUAAAACGUUAAAAUUCCGGGAUAAAUCGGUGUCAAAUGAUGCUAAAACGCCACAAAAAUGUGUACAGCUGUACAGGUUUCUAUUUAAUCCCAAAGAGAAGGAGCACUAUGUGGCUAUUUGGAGGAGAAUAUUCGUUUAAAAUGCUUUUCACUUUGUGCUAGCUAGCUUCAUGGGACUGUCACACUCGGUAAACUACUCACAAUUAGGUACCGUGGACUGGUAAUUCCUGCCACUGGGGGCGCUAGAAACAAGUGGUCGCUACCACUUACCAGGACCUGGUUUUUGUCAUUGCUACUUUGGCAAAAAAUGGAAAAGAGUUUGACGUGUUGGCUGGUGGCAUGACUAUAAGAUGCGGGGACGGCAGGUGGCGUGAAGGUUGAAGGUCAUUUUAAAACUUGGCAGUAGACAAAGCAAGACAGACUUCCACAUCACGUUACAAUCUCCUGGAAACAUAUCAGUAGUUAUGAUGGCUGAAAGUGGGAUCAAGCGUCCGCUCGACUUGAAAAUUGAUCUUGAGAAACUUCAUCAACCACAGGUGUGUGUGUUACAGAGUGCCUCUUCAGUGUGUAGACCAAUACAGAUGUCCCCUCCAUUGGCAGGGGGCGGGUUGUCACAUGACCUUGUCCGCUGAAAGUGGCCUCCGCCGCAGCUCACAGAGCAUUGGGACCAGGAAGACCAACAAGACCAGACGCCUCCCACUGAAACAGAAGCAGUCCACUUCACAAAUGAUGCUGCAGCAAGAGAACAUCGCAAUACAAGACGCCAGGCAGUCUACCUAAGCAUGGUUGCAAGUUGCAAUCUUGAUAUUCCACUGGGGUUCCCACACAGGCACCUGGAUUGAUCCUGCCUUUUACUGUUGAGCAACCACGUCUUCGGGUUCGAAAGCCUCUGGAACAUCGCUGGGAGCAGCUGGACCACGUCUCCCAAGACUCCCAGUGUGCAUCUUGGGGCUGUGACACAGUUCGACCACUGGACUUGACCAAGUCAUCAACUAGAGCUGAACACAGGAACUCUUUUUAUUAUCGCCUUACAUGUCACAUACAAAUGAAGGGUUCAUGGUGUCAUGUCCUCACAGUCAGUCUGGCAUGCUCCAGAACCAUCAUUUGGACAAAAUCUGGUCUCUAUCUUCUUUUUGCCCAUCUGAAGGAGCUGGAGGUCUGUUAGCAAUGCCCUGCACGUGUAUCUGUAUCUCUGCUCAUGGCGGGAUCCAUCUCGGCUGACAUUGACUGGAAUCCAGGGGGUCCAGGGGGUGUUCCGGCGCACCUCUGGGCAGGUCUCCAGAUUACAGGUCUUGUAUUCCUAGAUAGUUGGUCAAAUAGAUUCAUUAUUACUAUCCAUUGAUCCACUGACCUAAUAAGUUCCAAAUAACAAGCACUAAAAAGUGCGUGCAAACUAUAGAAUUGUGAGUACUAUUACUGGACAUGUUGCCGGUGAUCUAUUAAGACUUUGUGUACAAAUAAUACCAAGUGCAAAAGUGGUGCAGACCGCCCUAUUUAAAUUAGCUUUUUUCGUCUAUACCGGCUGUCACCAUGGAGACACAUUUCCCUUAACAUGUGGCAUUUUGUCAUGUUGUUGACAUGCAGCUCAUAAAUAUAAUAUGUACCAACUUUUCUGGGCUGCAUUGCAGCUCGAUCUAGACAAAAAAACAAACUUUUAGCAUACUCAAGGUGUUGUCUGGAAUGAUCCAGAUUCAAGAAUAUGCACAUUGCAACAAGUUUUUUCAUAUAGGAGAUUAGAAUAAUACAUUUCCUAUAUGAAAAUAAGCGAACGCCAUUGAAAAAACCGUAAGCAGACACUAAAACGAACCAAUUUAAUUUGUUUUAAUCAACCCACUAAGCCAUGCAGCAGCUAUACAAUUAAAAAAUGCCAUUGCUCAAUUGACAAUGCAUUAAAUAUAUUUGUUUCUGAUAAAUAUACGCAUGUUGACAUGCAUAUGGAUGGAGUAUUCGCUCUUCAUUGUCUGUCUUUGCAGUGCAAUCGCCUCUUUUCUUACAGACAUUUGUGCGUAACUGGGCCAGUUUACACGGAACUUACAUAGCCCUAACCCAGUGCUUAUCAAUUAUUUUCUGCUAAACCCCUCCACCAUGGCUAUAAAUAUUAUAAUUUUUCUACAAAAUUGUUAUAAGUGCACCUCUGCAUAUAUUACAUUAAAUUGUAUCAUUAUUAACAUUAAAGAAAACUAAAAAAUAUGAAAUAUAGAUCAAUUUACAACAAAAAAUAACUACAAAAGAUGGAUGAACAUGUUUUUGGUCUGUAACAGAAAGUAUUUAAAGUGCAUCAAUUUGACUGAAUUGGGGGGAAAAAACUUAAUACGUAUUCAAACUAUUAAAAAAAAAUUCUGAUUUACUUAAACCAUUUGUACAGAAAAAUACAAUUAAAUAAAAUUAAUAACAAUACACUAUGAUUUAUCAGCAACAUUAACUUACGAGCACAAUAUAGUAUAUAAAACACUUUAACUUACAAAACAAAAAUGAAUAUAACAAUUUGUGAUGAUUUUUCAUUAAAUUUGUUCAUCAAAAUGAGGAAGUCAGGAUUAAUGGCUACAAUGAGGACAUUUUGUAGUGUCCAACUCUAUAUUUAACCUAACGUGUUAAAUACAAAUGCAAAACAGGGGCCGCAGAACAGUUUCUGUCUUGAUAAAUCACAUUGCAUCUCCUCCUCCCAGUAUUUGGGACAUUUUGAUAAACAGCAUAUAUUCUGUAUGUACGUGUAGACUGUAGACAGACACAAUAACGAGAUUGUGCUCUCUAAUUGUGCUCCUUUAAGAGACGCAAUGAUCUGCGUCCAAGCUUAGUUGAUCAGCUUUGCGUGCGCUAAAAUGUUGGCAAAUGUUUUAAUACACGCAAACCUUUAGUAGAUCAGGCCCUAUGUAAAGAAUCUGUGUGAACGCACAAGCAGCCAAGUACCAUGGAACAUCCUUGGCAGGUGUUUCCAUUCUCACAGGUUCUGGUCCUGGCAUGGACCCCUCCUCCACAUUCAGCGCUGCAGUGAGCCCAGGGUGCCCAUGCAGUCCAAAGCACUGGCAACGGGCAUGUUUUCUUCUCAUUGCACAAUCUAGAAACAGAAAUGUUCCCUAAAUGUUUCAUGCUCAAUAUUUACAACCUUUGAAUGAAUGUUCCUCCUGAUUAACUUUACAACAUGUGACGACCUUCUUAUUCCCUCUCACCGUUCCUCUCGACCUUGGCCGACACAGAUUCGACCGCCGUGACGCGGCGAGGGAUUGUUGCAGGACCGUUGCCUCACUUCAAAACCGACGCCGCAAGUACUGCUACAAUGGCCCCACGACGACCAGGGAGUCCAGCCGCCAUUCCUGAGGAACAGAAUAGAAAAUGAACCUACGACAUCAGUACCGAUGUACAUGAUGUGGUAAAUAGCAUCGCGACCCUGCACGGUGUCCACCACCAGCUUAGAGAAGCGCAUGUUGUCCUGGGUGAGAAGUGGAUUGACCGUCAACGGCUGCACCACAUCGUGCAUCAGGAAGAGUCGCUGAGCGUCCUGGAGGUUGCGCUCGGUCAGAUUCCCACCAGCGCCUGCUUCGUCCAGCGUGCCGCACUGACAACAAAAGUCCAGAGCCAGCUGAGAGAAAUCCUUCACUCCUGGGUGGGAGAACUCCUUCAUCCAUGUCCUCAGGGCUGUGAUACAUGAACGCAUAUCCAAUCAAUCCAAUCCACUUUAUUUAUAUAGCACAUUUAAACAACAAAAAUGUUUCCAAAGUGCUGCACAACAAUAUUAAAAAACAAUAUUCAAAUAUUAUCCUUAGCUCCACCAAUGACUGAAUAAAAACAAAAAAUAAAUAAAUAUAAAACCAAUAUAAAAAUAAAUAUGAUUAAAAACGAUUUUAAAGGGUAAAACCAAUUAAAACAGUAAUUAGAAAUCAAAAUUUAAAUAAAAAAAACACAGAGGACAACAGAGGACAGAGGACCACACAACUCACGUAGUGUUAAAAGCCAAAGAAUAAAGGUGGGUCUUAAGACGAGACUUAACACACUCCACUGUGGGAGCAGUUUGAACAUGGAGGGGCAGAGUGUUCCAGAGCUUAGGGCCGACCACAGAAAAGGCCCUGUCUCCCCUGGUUUUAAGUCUGGUCUUGGGCACCACGAGCUGGAGCUGGCUCUCGGACCUCAGAGCGCGCGCAGGAGUGUAAAUUUGGAUGAGGUCCGAGAUAUACUGAGGUGCCAGUCCAUGUAAAGCUUUAAAAACAAACAGCAAGGUUUUAAAAUGAAUUCUAAAAGGAACAGGGAGCCAGGGCAAACUCUGAAGAAUUGAGGUUAUAUGCUCGCGUUUCCUGGCCCCUGUUAAAAGUCGUGCUGCCGCGUUCUGGACGAACUGCAACCGGGAGAGAGCUUUUUGGCUAAUGCCAGCAUAAAGUGCAUUGCAGUAGUCCAGGCGACUUGAAAUAAAAGCAUGCACGACUUGUUCAAAAAGGUUAAAAGAUAAAAACGGUUUUACCUUUGCUAAAAGACGAAGAUGAUAAAAACACGAUUUUAAAACACCAUUGACUUGUUUGUCAAAAUUGAGUUGAUGGCGUGUUAUUGUGAUUUAUAAAUAAUCACAUAUUUUCACCAAUUUUCCCAGGAGAUUUCCCAUAUUUUGAAAUGCAAAUGUUGUACCCCUGACCCACAGCAUUAGACACACGUAAUAAAGGUGCUUGUGAAAUCCCCUGAUGUUGCUUGGUGCUAAAUUAUUCACAACAUUCGUGCCUCAGAAAACAUUAUGUCCCAACCG